ensembl:snoRNA SNORD105B small nucleolar RNA U105B
UCAAGUAUGAUUAAUGACAACACUGCUGCUGAGACUUUGUAAUUGCCUGGUUUCAAAGUAAACGCCCUGAUGCCUGUGGA